ACUGGAAGCAUGUUAUGUAAUUUGAUACUUUCCCCACACCCCCUCGGGCGCUAAAUUUUUGAUGAGGCACGUGACCAGCCGCAGCCAGGGUCUUUCCCAAAGAAAGAUCCUGGGUACGAGGUUGGGCGAAAAUGUACAAAUUUUGACAACAUACUUUAUACAUACCGGCGUAAAUCAUAAUUUUUCAAGCUAAAAAAGGGCGAACUAUUACACCUUCAACGUUUCUAAUAAGCAAAAACUCAAACCUUUACCUAGAACAAUGCGUCGUUCGUUGAAGUACAUCGCUUUUGCGAGUGCUAGCGUGUUUUCAUGUACCCUAAUGUACAAGACUCGUGGCGACAAUAAAUUGGGAACGUUAUACGCUGCGGCUGAUGGGAGGAGCGCCGAAGUCCUGAGGU
rnacentral:lncRNA from 1 species